rnacentral:rRNA from 1 species
GAUGAACGCUAGCUACAGGCUUAACACAUGCAAGUCGAGGGACCGGCGCACGGGUGAGUAACACGUAUCCAACCUGCCCUUUACUCGGGGAUAGCCUUUCGAAAGAAAGAUUAAUACCCGAUAUAAAGGAUGGGGAUGCGUUCCAUUAGGUUGUUGGUGAGGUAACGGGUCACCAAGCCUUCGAUGGAUAGGGGUUCUGAGUGGAAGGUCCCCUACAGUGGAACUGAGACACGAACCAAAAUACUACGGGAGGCAGAAGUAAGGAAUAUUGGUCAAUGGGCGCUAGCCUGAACCAGCCAAGUAGCGGGAAGGAUGAAGGAUUAUGGGUCGUAAACUUCUUUUAUAGAAGAAUAUGUAUUAUAUGAAUAAGGAUCGGCUAACUCCGUGCCAGCAGCCGCGGUAAUUC